CUUGUACACACCGCCCGUCACAUCAUGAAAGCCGUUUGUACCCGAAGUCACCCCUUAAAAGGUGCCGAAGGUAUGGAUGGUGAUUGGAUG
rnacentral:rRNA from 1 species